CCUACGGGAGGCUGCAGUGGGGGAUAUUGGACAAUGGGGGGAACCCUGAUCCAGCGACGCCGCGUGAGUGAAGAAGUAUUUCGGUAUGUAAAGCUCUGUCAGCAGGGAAGAAAGAAAUGACGGUACCUGACCAAGAAGCCCCGGCUAACUACGUGCCAGCAGCCGCGGUAAUACGUAGGGGGCAAGCGUUAUCCGGAAUUACUGGGUGUAAAGGGAGCGUAGACGGUUAAGUAAGUCUGGAGGGAAAGGCCGGGGCCCAACCCCGGGACUGCUCUGGAAACUAUUGAACUUGAGUGCAGGAGAGGUAAGCGGAAUUCCUAGUGUAGCGGUGAAAUGCGUAGAUAUCAGGAGGAACACCGGCGGCGAAGGCGGCCUGCUGGACUGAAACUGACGUUGAGGCUCGAAAGCGUGGGGAGCAAACAGGAUUAGAUACCCCUGUAGUC
rnacentral:rRNA from 1 species